UGGUCUGCCCACGGACACCGAGCAGUUCUGGCUCGGUGUACUUGAACAUCCAGCUUUUAAAGAGCUUGCCAGCUUUGCCCUCACUUGCCUGGUCACGCCUGUGAGUAAUGCAGUGGUCGAGAGGAUAUUCUCACUUGUAUCCUGCAUCAAGACAAAAGCACGAAACCGGAUGCAGCUUGCUCUCCUCGAUGCUAUCGUGAGGAUAAGGGCGGAACUGGUGCUCUCCGGCAAAUGCUGCCGAGAGUUCACCCCUUCACCUGAAACACUGCAGACUUCCACGGCAGACAAGGUCUAUGUUGCUGCUGCUGCCACAGCCACCACAUCCAGACAGGCGGCCGGCGGGGAGGGGUCUGAUGCUGAUCCAGCCGACCUGGAUCUGGACCUUUUCCUGUGACCAAAAACACAGGACAGGGAGUGGGGAUCCAAGCCAGAUCCUCCAGCCACCCACCUCUUCCCCCCUCCCCCACCCCCCUCCCUUGCAAGGAGGACUCCAAGACAGCUCCUGCCGCCAGUCACCUUGAAGACAGCUCCUCAGAAAAAGCCUCUCCUCCUGUGAUGUGCCAAGAGAGGGUGGGAGUCCUCACCAGCCAAGGAAGGAAAUUUAAUAAUGUCAAAGCAUUGCCAUUUUUGUUUCUGUGUCCUCACCUGAAAUCCAUCUCACACCUAGCAGAAGCUACUUUAAUUAAAGUGUGAAUAAAUCCUGCUGCACUCCACAACAAGAAUAUUAUGAAUCUGCCCUUUGGAACCUUUCCAUCAUGCCCAAAGGUAUGUCUUUCCAUCCUACUUCCUUGUUGUUUUGCUUAACAUUCAGCCUAAAGAAGAGUUCUGGGGAAGUUGUAAGAUUGCUCACUACUUUGUGAUGUGCUAGUUCAUCUUAAUAAAGCCAUAAUUAUUUAUCUA